AUUGAACGCUGGCGGCAUGCCUUACACAUGCAAGUCGAACGGUAACGCGGGGGCAACCCUGGCGACGAGUGGCGAACGGGUGAGUAAUACAUCGGAACAUAUCCAGUAGCGGGGGAUAACCUAUCGAAAGAUUGGCUAAUACCGCAUACGAUCUACGGAUGAAAGCGGGGGACCGCAAGGCCUCGCACUAUUGGAGUGGCCGAUGUCAGAUUAGCUAGUUGGUGGGGUAAAAGCCUACCAAGGCGACGAUCUGUAGCUGGUCUGAGAGGACGAUCAGCCACACUGGAACUGAGACACGGUCCAGACUCCUACGGGAGGCAGCAGUGGGGAAUUUUGGACAAUGGGCGCAAGCCUGAUCCAGCCAUGCCGCGUGAGUGAAG
rnacentral:rRNA from 1 species